AGUUGUUUCCGGAGGUCUUGAAUGCACACAAGGGAGAUGGAAUUCGUCGUGUAGCGGUGAAAUGCUUAGAUAUGACGAAGAACUCCGAUUGCGAAGGCAGUCUCCUGGGGUGUAAUUGACGCUGAGGCUCGAAAGUGCGGGUAUCAAACAGGAUUAGAUACCCUGGUAGUCCGCACAGUAAACGAUGAAUGCUGGUUCUUGGCGAUAUACGGUCAGGAACUGAGGGAAACCAUUAAGCAUUCCACCUGGGGAGUACGCCGGCAACGGUGAAGCUCAAAGGAAUUGACGGGGGCCCGCACAAGCGGAGGAACAUGUGGUUUAAUUCGAUGAUACGCGAGGAACCUUACCCGGGCUUGAAUUGCAGCUGCAUGGGGCAGAGAUGCCCCUUCCCUUCGGGGCUGCUGUGAAGGUGCUGCAUGGUUGUCGUCAGCUCGUGCCGUGAGGUGUCGGCUUAAGUGCCAUAACGAGCGCAACCCUUGCUGUCAGUUGCCAUCAGGUAAUGCUGGGCACUCUGGCGGGACUGCCAUCGCAAGAUGUGAGGAAGGUGGGGAUGACGUCAAAUCAGCACGGCCCUUACGUCCGGGGCUACACACGUGUUACAAUGGGGGGUACAGAAAGCCUGCCUGCGGCGACGCUGGUCCAAUCCUCAAAACCCCUCUCAGUUCGGACUGGAGUCUGCAACCCGACUCCACGAAGCUGGAUUCGCUAGUAAUCGCGCAUCAGCCAUGGCGCGGUGAAUACGUUCCCGGGCCUUGUACACAC
rnacentral:rRNA from 1 species